AGUGAACGCUGGCGGUAGGCCUAACACAUGCAAGUCGAACGGCAGCACAGUAAGAGCUUGCUCUUACGGGUGGCGAGUGGCGGACGGGUGAGGAAUACAUCGGAAUCUACUUUUUCGUGGGGGAUAACGUAGGGAAACUUACGCUAAUACCGCAUACGACCUACGGGUGAAAGCAGGGGAUCUUCGGACCCUGCGCGAUUGAAUGAGCCGAUGUCGGAUUAGCUAGUUGGCGGGGUAAAGGUCCACCAAGGCGACGAUCCGUAGCUGGUCUGAGAGGAUGAUCAGCCACACUGGAACUGAGACACGGUCCAGACUCCUACGGGAGGCAGCAGUGGGGAAUAUUGGACAAUGGGCGCAAGCCUGAUCCAGCCAUACCGCGUGGGUGAAGAAGGCCUUCGGGUUGUAAAGCCCUUUUGUUGGGAAAGAAAAGCAGCAGGUUAAUACCCCGCUGUUCUGACGGUACCCAAAGAAUAAGCACCGGCUAACUUCGUG
rnacentral:rRNA from 1 species